rnacentral:rRNA from 1 species
UACGAAGGGGGCUAGCGUUGCUCGGAAUCACUGGGCGUAAAGGGUGCGUAGGCGGCGGAGUAAGUCGGGUGUGAAAUUUGAGGGCUCAACCUUCAACUUGCACCUGAUACUGCUUCGCUCGAGUCCUGAAGAGGAGCUUGGAAUUCUCGGUGUAGCAGUGAAAUGCGUAGAUUUCGAGAAGAACGCUCGCAGCGAAAGCGAAGCUCUGGUCAGGCACUGACGCUGAGGCACGAAGGCUAGGGGAGCAAACAGG